rnacentral:rRNA from 1 species
AUGACGAAUAUGGUUCACAUCGAUGAGAAGUGGUUCGACAUGACGAGAGUGAAGAAUAGUUACUAUGUACUUCCAGGAGAACCUGAACCGAAGCGCACCGUGUCAAACACUCACAGCAUUGGGAAGGUAAUGUUCCUAACAGCUGUUGCCAGGCCUCGAUAUAACAAUGAGGGGGAGCUAACAUUCGAUGGGAAGAUCGGCAUUUGGGCAUUCGUUGAAGAGACUGAGGCGAAGCGGACAAGUCAGAACAGAACAAAGGGAACAAAAGUGUUGACAUCAGUGAAAGUAACCAGGCUUGUGUGCAGAGAUUAUCUAAUCAAUAAGGUUAUCCCGGCAAUUCAGGAUAAGUGGCCUGACGAUGAUGAGGGAGCAAAAAUAUUCAUCCAACAGGAUAACGCAAAGCCUCAUGUCCUUCCCAAUGAUGUAGCUUUUCGAGAAGCUGUGGAACAAACUGAUCUUGACAUCUGA